AUUAAAUUAUUAAUUAAAUCAAUAAGAGUAUAUUAGUAAUGUUACACUAAGAAUAACAAUUAAUAUGCCUUUAUUUUAGGGAUAGUUUCUUAAUUCCUUUUCAAAACCCAUUUCAUCAAACACGUCCACCUCCAUUCGACCCUUUUCUUCCAUACACCCAACGAUGAGGUUCCAUCCAUUACCCAUUUUCCUUCAAACAGUAUGUCGAGAUAAAGCUAUCCUCCAACGGACAACAAUUUGACGCCGAAAUACUGCAAAUCAAAAUCUGCGGGUAGAAAACAUCACAAAGUCUUUAUCGUAUUUCCUGCAGAGGCGAUGAUUGUGGAAGCGGUUAAAAUGAUGGAUACAAAAUGAAUAUGUAAUUUAUCAUCCAUGUUUAUAUGUCUUUUGAACCAUCUGCAAAUAAUCAGGGAAAAAGAAACGGUGGAGGAAGAUAUGAGUAAAUUGAAACUUGCAUGAGGUACACAAGGUAAUGAAAUGGGAAGUGAUAUCAACACGUGUGAUAACAGGCAAUUAAAAUAUGUGUAAAGUACUAAAGCUGAAUUAUCUAGACUCUGUAUUCGAUGCGAUGGUAGGCUCGAAAGAUUUAAAUGCACUUGACUAGGUUCAUGUAGCACCUGGUUCUUGGAAGGAAGGAAAAGCUUGAAGGAUCAAGAGGAGGCUAGAAGGAUCCGAUUUUGAGCAUCAUUAGCAGUCUACAGAAGCCAGAGGAUUUCCGGAGUAGCAGCGGGCAGCAGUCAGAGGAUUCCCGCACAGAUCAGCAGCUACUACGAGGUACCUCUUCAGCGAAGGGGAAGGAGCUGGCGUGGUAGCGGCACAUCAGACACACACAUUGUUUUCCGCACUAUGAGUUAUUCUGGGAUUUGUACUCUGACAUUAUUAUGUUUUUUUUACGAUUCGGUUUUCAGACACGAGACAUGUUUUUAUUAAAUGAUAUGAUCGAUUGAUAUUUUGUUACAAA